AAGGAAUCUUCCACAAUGGGCGAAAGCCUGAUGGAGCAACACCGCGUGCAGGAUGAAGGCCCUCGGGUCGUAAACUGCUUUUAUAAGUGAAGAAUAUGACGGUAACUUAUGAAUAAGGGUAGGCUAACUACGUGCCAGCAGCCGCGGUCAUACGUAGGACCCAAGCGUUAUCCGGAGUGACUGGGCGUAAAGAGUUGCGUAGGCGGUCAGCAAAGUGAAUAGUGAAAUCUGGGGGCUCAACCUCACAGGCUAUUGUUCAAACUCGCUGACUCGAGAGUGGUAGAGGUAACUGGAAUUUCUUGUGUAGGAGUGAAAUCCGUAGAUAUAAGAAGGAACACCAAUGGCGUAGGCAGGUUACUGGACCAUUUCUGACGCUAAGGCACGAAAGCGUGGGGAGCGAACC
rnacentral:rRNA from 1 species